rnacentral:rRNA from 1 species
UACGUAGGGUGCAGGCGUUAAUCGGAAUUACUGGGCGUAAAGCGUGCGCAGGCGGUUUGCUAAGACAGGUGUGAAAUCCCCGGGCUUAACCUGGGAACUGCGCUUGUAACUGGCAAGCUUGAGUGUGGCAGAGGGGGGUGGAACUCCACGUGUAGCAGUGAAAUGCGUAGAGAUGUGGAGGAACACCGAUGGCGAAGGCAGCCCCCUGGGCUAACACUGACGCUCAUGCACGAAAGCGUGGGGAGCAAACAGG